UGAGAGGUUAUAAUGAGAGAUCCUGAAUAGCCUUUCGAUUAAGUGCAGAGUUAUUAUUAAAUUGCUGGAUUGAACUCCUUCAUUGUAGAAGCUCCUUGUAAUAUAAUGUCGUAUAAGCUUAAUGUCUUGGUUACUUCCACCAACCUUCGCAAGACUCCUAUGUUGCAUAGAUACACCUUUUUUUUGGCCAAGUUGAGCAUUUGAUGUGUUUGGAUGCGGUAGUAUUCAAGGGUGUGAGUUUUCCGUCCUCUCUCUUCCUAACUUUGGAAAAAAAAAAAAAAACAGAAAAGCAAAAUUCUCAAACACUCACUAUGAAAGAAAGAAAAUUUUCAAAUACGAGCAAUAACCACAAUUUAUCAUAACUGUCAAAAGGAGCAAGUGUUUAUGUGAGCCAGUCAGAAUAGUAUACUCAUUCCCUUUACCAAGUUUAAUGAGAUUGUGAGUGGCCCCCACUUAAUGGGAAUCUCAGUAACAAACUCCCACAAGUUUCAGUCCCUUCUCCUACCACCUCUCUCUCUCUCUCUCUCUCUCUCUCUCUCUCGUAUAAAUUCCAUCUCUACCAGUUCUUGAAUUUGUGAACAAGUCUUCUUAAUUUGGGGGCUCUACC
rnacentral:lncRNA from 1 species